UACGGAGGGGGCGAGCGUUAUUCGGAAUUAUUGGGCGUAAAGGGCGCGUAGGCGGCUGUACAAGUCAAAGGUGAAAUCCCUCGGCUCAACUGAGGAGCUGCCUUUGAAACUGUACGGCUUGAGGCCGGGAGGGGGUAGCGGAAUUCCCAGUGUAGCGGUGAAAUGCGUAGAUACUGGGAGGAACACCAGUGGCGAAGGCGGCUACCUGGACCGGUUCUGACGCUGAGGCGCGAAAGCGUGGGUAGCAAACAGG
rnacentral:rRNA from 1 species